AAUGCAGACCGGGUGACCGCCCUCCUUCCGUCGCUGGAAGGAGGGAGGAAAGUCCGGGCUCCUCUGGGCAGGGUGCUGGGUAACUCCCAGGUCCCGAUCACCGGUCAACCGGAAUCGGGGACGGAAAGUGGCACAGAAACAUACCGUCCUUCCAGCGAUGGAAGGAUAAGGGUGAAAUCGGACGGUAAGAGCGUCCGGCCGACUGCGGUGACGCAGCGGCGGCUAAACCCCACCUGGAGCAAGGCCAAAUAGGGGGACUUAGGCGCCCGGCCCGUCCCCGGGUUGGCUGCUUGACCCCGGCGGUAACGCCGUUCCGCCUUCGGGCGGAUGACCGCCAGCCGCAAGGCUGACGGUUGGGCUAGAUAGAUGGUCACCACCUUCCAGCGAUGGAAAGACACAGAACCCGGCUUACAGGUCUGCAGAACCC
rnacentral:RNase_P_RNA from 3 species